UUGGGAGUUGUAAACUCGGUAAUGAUCCUUUUUUUGGGGGAAGGGGGGGGGAACCUUAGCGGGGGUUGCCUCUCCCCCACCCCGAGCGUUACCAAACUGUUGCCUCGGCGGGGUCACGCCCCGGGUGCGUCGCAGCCCCGGAACCAGGCGCCCGCCGGAGGAACCAACCAAACUCUUUCUGUAGUCCCCUCGCGGACGUAUUUCUUACAGCUCUGAGCAAAAAUUCAAAAUGAAUCAAAACUUUCAACAACGGAUCUCUUGGUUCUGGCAUCGAUGAAGAACGCAGCGAAAUGCGAUAAGUAAUGUGAAUUGCAGAAUUCAGUGAAUCAUCGAAUCUUUGAACGCACAUUGCGCCCGCCAGUAUUCUGGCGGGCAUGCCUGUCCGAGCGUCAUUUCAACCCUCGAACCCCUCCGGGGGAUCGGCGUUGGGGAUCGGGACCCCUCACACGGGUGCCGGCCCCGAAAUACAGUGGCGGUCUCGCCGCAGCCUCUCCUGCGCAGUAGUUUGCACAACUCGCACCGGGAGCGCGGCGCGUCCACGUCCGUAAAACACCCAACUUUCUGAAAUGUUGACCUCGGAUCAGGUAGGAAUACCCGCUGAACUUAAGCAUAUCAAUAAGCG
rnacentral:rRNA from 1 species